UACUGACUGACUGACUGUACCCACUGGAAGUAGGAUAUAGCACCUACUGACUGACUGACUGUACCAGCUGGAUGUGGGAUCUAGCACCUACUGACUGACUGACUGUACCAGCUGGACAUCGGAUCUAGCACCUACUGACUGACUGACUGUACCAGCUGAAUGUGGAAUCUAGCACCUACUGACUGACUGACUACUGGAUGUGGGAUCUAGCAGCUACUGACUGACUGUACCAGCUGGACUUGGGAUAUAACACCUACUGACUGACUGUACCGGCUGGAUGUGGGAUCUAGCACCUACUGACUGACUGACUGUACCAGCUAGACAUGGGAUAUAACAUCUACUGACUUACUGACUGUACCGGAUGGAUGUGGGAUCUAGCACCUACUGACUGACUGACUGUACCAGCUGAAUGUGGAAUCUAGCACCUACUGACUGACUGACUACUGGAUGUGGGAUCUAGCAGCUACUGACUGACUGUACCAGCUGGACUUGGGAUAUAACACCUACUGACUGACUGUACCAGCUGGACUUGGGAUAUAACACCUACUGACUGACUCUUCCAGCUGAGGAUGGGAUCUAUCACGUACUGACUGAGUGUACCAGCUGAGGAUGGGAUCUAGCCCUAACUCUGACUGACUGUACCAGAUGAGGACAGGAUCUAGCACGUACUGACUGACUGUGCCAGCUGAUUAAAUCACUUACUGACUGUACCAGCUGAUUACAUAACUGACUGACUCUACCAGCUGGCACGGCGAUGGGAUCUAACACCUACUAACUGUCUGACUGACGGACUUUCUGACCGACUGUCUGACUGAUUAGCUGGCUGACUGGCUAGGCUGACUGGCUAGGCUGACUGACUGACUGACUGACUGACUGGCUGGCUGGCUGGCUGGCUGGCUGGCUGGCUGACUUCCUGACUGAUUGGCUGGCUGGCUGACUGGCUGGCUGAUUGGCUGGCUGACUGAUUGGCUGAUUGGCUGGCUGGCUGACUGGCUGGCUGACUGGCUGGCUGGCUGACUGAUUGGCUGGCUGAUUGGCUGGCUGGCUGACUGGCUGGCUGACUUCCUGACUGAUUGGCUGGCUGGCUGACUGACUGGCUGACUGUCCUUCCAUUGCCUUCUCUCCCCGGGGAUUCAGACGGGAAAACAAAGCCAGAGAACUUGAACCAACUGUAAUGUAACUAGUUAAAGCAGGCGACACACUUGAGUCUGUCUGUCUGUCUGUCUGUUAAAGUCAUGAUUAUUCAAUACUACCAUAAUUAUAUUAUUCUAUUGAUCUGUUAUAGUCAUGAUUAUUCAAUACCACCAUAAUUAUAUUAUUCUGUUGAUAUUGUUGGGGUUGUGAACGUACAGUACAGUAAGAGACUAUUGUUUGUGGAUACUGUACUUUUUAAAGACGAAGCUGAGAACACUGCUGCUACCUGACGGUGACUGUAACAUUAGGUCUGUACGGUGCCCAUAUUAGGACAGCGUCAGUCUCAGCAGGCGUUAUUAGGUCCUGAUCAGACUGAGGAUGUCCUAAUACAGACACCAUAGGUGUGUUAUUUAAUGAUGGUCUGCAUUCCAAAUGGCACCUUGUUCCCUUUGUAGCUGAACUAUUGUUGACCAGAGCCUACGGUGUUGACCAGGUCCUACAGUGUUGACCAGGGCCUACAGUGUUGACCAGAGCCUACGGUGUUGACCAGGUCCUACAGUGUUGACCAGGGCCUACAGUGUUGACCAGGGCCUACAGUGUUGACCAGAGCCUACGGUGUUGACCAGGUCCUACAGUGUUGACCAGGGCCUACAGUGUUGACCAGGGCCUACAGUGUUGACCAGAGCCUACGGUGUUGACCAGGUCCUACAGUGUUGACCAGGGUCUACAGUGUUGACCAGGGUCUACAGUGUUGACCAGGGCCUACAGUGUUGACCAGGGCCUACGGCUGCUGGUGUUGACCAGAUGCUACGGCUGCUGGUGUUGACCAGAUCCUACGGCUGCUGGUGUUGACCAGGUCCUACGGCUGCUGGUGUUGACCAGGUCCUACGGCUGCUGGUGUUGACCAGGUCCUACGGCUGCUGGUCAACAUAGUGUACUCUAUGGGGAACAGGAUGCCAUGUGGAACACAGCCCCUAUUGAAGACCUUUCUAGCUAUGUUGGUUCUGUUGUUUGUGCACGGAAAUGGAAUUAAAUACAACAAGGGCACGUUUUUGUUAUUUUUCAACAUAAUAUAUUUUGCACUGAGACACAAAAAUGUGUUAAUACUGUACAUUUUGUUUUUAGAUGCGUGUAUAAAGCCUCACCAGUGCCACAUAGUUCAAAUGUAUAAAAUAUUGUUGUACUGUGGAAUGUUAAUAGUCUUUUGGAUUGCAAUGUAUUGCCUUUACACACAGUCUGCUGGUUGUCAACACUAUAGGCCAUAAAGGAGGGGCAUCUGACUGCUAUAGAAUUACCGGCCAUAAAGGAGGGGCAUCUGACUGCUAUAGAAUUACCGGCCAUAAAGGAGGGGCAUCUGACUGCUAUAGAAUUACCGGCAUC
ensembl:lncRNA